rnacentral:sRNA from 1 species
AUGUGGAGGAGGAGAAGCUCACUGAGUUUGACUCUUCAUCAGAGUUUGUGUUCUUCUUCUUCUUCAUCAUCAUCCAAACUCCCAAACUCUCACCUCCACUCUUCUUUCUUUUCCUCUUCAUCUUCUUCUUCUUCUUCAGCCCCAAACUCCUUGGAUCUAGGGUUUCCGAAACCCGAUGUCGCACCGCCCUUCUCGGCCUCCGUCAAUAUCUCGUCUUUCGCCUCCACAACUCGCCACUACGCUCGCUGCUACUGGGAGCUCUCCAAGGCUCGCCUUAGGUUUCGCUUUCUCAAUUUUCCACUUAUAAAUUCGGAAUUCUAUUCAUUUCUAUAUGUGUGUGUUUAUGCAUUUAUGAAUUGUGAUUUUGAUUUGGCAUAUGGGUUUUUAAGAAAAGAAGAAAGAAACUGCUUUAUGUUUAAUUGUGACCGUAAUGCUUAGACUCCAAAUAGGCCUAGUUUGUAGGGAACUAUGGGUGCUUUUGAAAAUGGUAUUUUGAGUUUAAAAUGAGCAUUUGUUUGUGAAAAAAGCUAUGAGGAGUUGUAGUUGCAAACAGAAUUUUGGGUUUUUUAAAAAUGCUCCUUUAAGCUCCCAAAACACCUAACCAAAUGGACCCCUAUAUUUGUAUAUGUAGAGUUUGGUUCGAAUUGAAAGAUGUGAUGAUUGUAGUCCAUAGGUUUAAAUCAUGUUUUAUAAUCGGAAUGGUGCCAAAAGUGUAAACUUGUGUUGUUUGGGUAUUAAAAGUUUCGUCCUUUGUCUAAUUAGGCUGGGAUUGGAAAACAGCUAGCAGGGACCUCAAGCCUGAGCCAGCCUCAAAAAUAAGACCCUCCCGAUACAGCCUAAUAGGAUCACAAUGGGGUAGGGGAACCUUUUUUUCAUUGAGUUACUACCAUUUUUUGUUUCUGGGGUGGGACGUCUCUUCCCCAUAUAAGCCCUUGUGGUGCCUGCAGGUUGUUUGAAGAGUUCUGACAAAUGAUUGCGUGCAUAUCGAAUUGAAUACAUUGUGAUUGAGUUGCUUGCUGAGUAACUCUUCUUUUGUUAAAAUUUUAUGAAGGGAUGAUAUUUGAACUCAUGUUUAGGAACUUGUCUCUUACUGUCAUUUUUUUCUCCUAUCUAGCAUGCUAGUUGUUGCGACUUCUGGGACAGGAUUUGUCCUUGGGAGUGGAAGUGCCGUUGAUUUUGCGGGACUUUGUUGGACUUGUGCUGGUACCAUGAUGGUUGCUGCAUCUGCCAGCUCUUUAAAUCAGGUUCAUUCUUAAAAACAGUUUUUUUUUUCUCUCUCUCUCUCUCCCUUCCCCUCCCUUCCUUCCCUUUUCAACAUUCAUUUUCUUAUAAAAAAUUGCAUCCAAGGAAUAGCUCCCUCAAUUUUUGGGAGCUCAAAGGUAUACAAAACCAUGAAGAAAGACAAAAACACAGGACCUAUAUCUGACAUUACAUGAAGACACCAACGUAACAAAAUAGGGCAACAUAAUAAAAUGAUUAGUAGUUUUAAAUUCAAAUGAUCAGUGACUUGGUAAACUUCUAAUGAAUAUGAAGAGUGAUUUAUGCACUCUCUUGCAGCCUGAUUUUGUUUAUGAUGGAAGUCUUGUUUUUUGUUUCAAUUCAUAAUAUUUUUGUUUUUCAUCAUUCAUAUAAUAAUAAAUAAAUAAAUAAAAACUACAACAACAACAACAACAUUAUUUUUAUCUCUCUUGAAGAAAGGAAGAGAUUCUCAUAUCUAGGGUUUUAGAGAAAUCACAUCCAUUAGAGAAGGUAAGAAACGUUACAUUAAACUUGUAAAGUUGCCUCUGCUAUUUAAAUCUACAUCUUAGAAUAUAGACCUGUAACCCUGAAUAUUUAAUACAUUCUCCAACAAAACUAGUCUCAACUAUUAAAUCAUGCCUAAUAAACUGAAAGUUAUUUACAACCUUAUUAGUUCAUCACUCAAAGUUGGAGCACUCGAUUAUGAAAUGAAACAUUGGGAAUAAAAGAGUUAUAUUUUUUGUUGUAUUAAGAUUGUGAGAUCAUAUAGCCAUGCUUUGUUCUCAAGCCAAUUGGGUUCGUACUUCAUUUGUAGUAAGAAUAUUUUCUGGUUGUCAAAAUUAAGGUAGGUAGAUGUAAUAACAAAAAAUCGAGUCUGUGCCCCAAGACAGUGUUAGAAGGAGGCACCCUAUUGUUAUUUUCAACGGGAAAAGGGUUGGUUUCCAUUUUCAAGUUUUAAGUUGGUGAUUCUUUUUAGUGAAUAUAUUUGUCAUUUGAUACUUAUCAAAAAAAAAAAAAAAUUGUCAUUUGAAGAAACAAGGUUCCUUGUCAUUGCUUUACCUCAUCAUUGUCUUUCUUUAUCUCGUUGAUUGCUGAUGGCAUAUUUUAAUUUCAGUUUCUUUUCAUGUACGGGCUUAGUUCACUUGAACUUUCUUUGAAUGAAUCAUAUUCUCUUAGGUAUUUGAGAUUAAGAAUGACGCCAAAAUGAAGAGAACAAGGCUAAGACCACUACCUUCAGAGCGCAUUACUAUACCCCACGCAGUCACCUGGGCAUCUACUGUUGGUUUAGCUGGAACUGCUUUAUUGGCAAGCAAGGUGGCCGAUAUAUUCUCUCACCCCCUUAUGUUAUGAAAUUUGAUAGUUAAAUUGUGAAGUUGUUUCAUUAACCUGUGAGCUGAGGGACUAAUGUUCCAGCUUGUAUGGCAAGGUUGUUGCAGGCUAACAUGUUGGCGGCUGGGCUGGCAGCUUCCAAUCUGAUUCUGUAUGCCUUCGUCUACACUCCUAUGAAGCAGAUCCACCCAGUCAAUACAUGGGUUGGGGCUGUCGUUGGUGCCAUUCCACCACUUCUUGGGUAAUAUGUCCUCUAUAUUUCUUUUUCCUUUUAGCAAAAAAAAUCCUUCUUAUUGAACUUUUAAGAGAAAUUUGUUUCGUGGAUUUGAGAGUGUGCAAUUUUCUCAAGUUUGUCCAUACUUAUUAUUGUUGUGGUCUAAUUAUGUAUUUUGCUAGCCAAAAAUUGAUCAUGGCUUCCUGAAAUUUCCAUCUAGCAUUGGAAACUGAUUUCUUUUCUUCACUAUGUUACUUUAAGAUACUGGAAGUUAUAGUAUUUGAGAUUAAGAAUGACGCCAAAAUGAAGAGAACAAGGCUAAGACCACUACCUUCAGAGCGCAUUACUAUACCCCAUGCAGUCACCUGGGCAUCUACUGUUGGUUUAGCUGGAACUGCUUUAUUGGCAAGCAAGGUGGCCGAUAUAUUCUCUCACCCCCUUAUGUUAUGAAAUUUGAUAGUUAAAUUGUGAAGUUGUUUCAUUAACCUGUGAGCUGAGGGACUAAUGUUCCAGCUUGUAUGGCAAGGUUGUUGCAGGCUAACAUGUUGGCGGCUGGGCUGGCAGCUUCCAAUCUGAUUCUGUAUGCCUUUGUCUACACUCCUAUGAAGCAGAUCCACCCAGUCAAUACAUGGGUUGGGGCUGUCGUUGGUGCCAUUCCACCACUUCUUGGGUAAUAUGUCCUCUAUAUUUCUUUUUCCUUUUAGCAAAAAAAAUCCUUCUUAUUGAACUUUUAAGAGAAAUUUGUUUCGUGGAUUUGAGAGUGUGCAAUUUUCUCAAGUUUGUCCAUACUUAUUAUUGUUGUGGUCUAAUUAUGUAUUUUGCUAGCCAAAAAUUGAUCAUGGCUUCCUGAAAUUUCCAUCUAGCAUUGGAAACUGAUUUCUUUUCUUCACUAUGUUACUUUAAGAUACUGGAAGUUAUAGGAAACAUACUCUUUAUACAUGUGAAAAAUGGUGCUGUCCUAAUUAUGUUUCUUCUUUCCAGCCUUGUCAAUCCUCAUCUCCAAUCAAAUCUGGAAUAUGCUCAUAAACAUAGUAUGCUGAUAAAAUCCUCUUACUUCUCUCUCUCCCCCCACCACAAAAUACUGAUUCUCCCUCCCCAUUAAAAAGUAACUCUUCCCAUUUCUUUUAUCCUAUCCUGGUUUAUUUCUUUAUCUUUCAAACUGGACUUAAAGUAGAACAAAAACUGGAGGAUAAAUCUUUUUUUUUUUUUUAUAAGUAAUAAGUUUUAUUGAUAUCAAAAAAGGAACCCCCUAGAACACAGGGAGUGUACAAGGGGUCAACAAUCAAUUACAAAAAAAUUAAAAGAGUCAAGGAAAUCAAGGAAAGAAGAGAAUGAUUGGUUUUGCAUGGCAACCAACCAAUCCAAUAAAGUUCUAAAGAAAAAUAACUUGAGUUCUGGAAUGGAUCUCUCAUUAUCUUCAAAACUCCUACUAUUUCUUUCCCUCCAAAGACACCACAUUAAGCAAUGAAGAACAAUUAAUCAUAUAUAACCAUUUCGAUGACGACCAAACCUGCCUUGCCAACAAGCUGAUAGUCCUAAAACGGAUUGCGCAAUAACCCAGCUUACUCUAAAUAAACCUAAAACUAUAGACCACAUAUCCAUAGCAACCAGACAAUGAAGAAACCAUUACACUUGCAUAUGUAGCACCAAUCCAAUAUCCAAACCUUCAUUUUUCGUAAAUUGUCAAUCGUCAAGCAUUUCCCUAAAGCAGCAGUCCAAAUGAAGAAAGCUACACGAGAAGGAAUCUCCUGUUUCUAAAUACUUUUCCAAGGAAAACAGUAAUCAUUAGAGCCCACUAAAAUACUAUAAUAAUCAGUAACCAUGAACCCUUAUCUCUAUCAGGUUUCCAACACAUCUUAUCCUUACAAAACCCCUUGCUGAAAAACCAUAUAUGGUAUCCAUGAAACCCGACAUAGCCUCUAAUUCCUGAGCAUGCACACCCCUAAAGAAACUUACAUCCCAAAAGAGAAUGCCAUUAGUGUACUUCAUAAGCUCAGGCACGCUAACCUCCUUAUCUCGGCAAAAUCUAACCAAUUCAGGGUAGCUGGCUGCAAGAGAUGUCUCACCACACCAACAGCCAUACCAAAACUUCACCCUAGACCCAUCACCAAUAUCAUAUAGAAUACAGCGUGAAAAAGAUGGCCAUCCUUGACUAAUAUUUUUCCACAAAUCAACACCAUAUGGACCAUUAACUGGUCUGGUACACUAGCCACCCCAUACACAUCCAUAUUUCACCUAUAUCACUUGCCUCCAAAUUGCUUAAAGUUUAAGGAAUGAAAACUAUUAGGGAGAGUUAGGCAUGAUUUAGUUAUAUGAUGCCAAAUUUGAUGCCCUCACUUGUGAGACUCGCAUAAUUUCAUCCUUCUUGAUAAUAAAAUGGCCUGACACUCACAUUUUUUAUUGUAUGUCUAUUGUUGUUGAAAGUUGUGUCCAUAUGUAGCACCAAUCCAAUAUCCAAACCUUCAUUUUUCGUAAAUUGUCAAUCGUCAAGCAUUUCCCUAAAGCAGCAGUCCAAAUGAAGAAAGCUACACGAGAAGGAAUCUCCUGUUUCUAAAUAUUUUUCCAAGGAAAACAGUAAUCAUUAGAGCCCACUAAAAUACUAUAAUAAUCAGUAACCAUGAACCCUUAUCUCUAUCAGGUUUCCAACACAUCUUAUCCUUACAAAACCCCUUGCUGAAAAACCAUAUAUGGUAUCCAUGAAACCCGACAUAGCCUCUAAUUCCUGAGCAUGCACACCCCUAAAGAAACUUACAUCCCAAAAGAGAAUGCCAUUAGUGUACUUCAUAAGCUCAGGCACGCUAACCUCCUUAUCUCGGCAAAAUCUAACCAAUUCAGGGUAGCUGGCUGCAAGAGAUGUCUCACCACACCAACAGCCAUACCAAAACUUCACCCUAGACCCAUCACCAAUAUCAUAUAGAAUACAGCGUGAAAAAGAUGGCCAUCCUUGACUAAUAUUUUUCCACAAAUCAACACCAUAUGGACCAUUAACUGGUCUGGUACACUAGCCACCCCAUACACAUCCAUAUUUCACCUAUAUCACUUGCCUCCAAAUUGCUUAAAGUUUAAGGAAUGAAAACUAUUAGGGAGAGUUAGGCAUGAUUUAGUUAUAUGAUGCCAAAUUUGAUGCCCUCACUUGUGAGACUCGCAUAAUUUCAUCCUUCUUGAUAAUAAAAUGGCCUGACACUCACAUUUUUUAUUGUAUGUCUAUUGUUGUUGAAAGUUGUGUCCAAGUACUACUUGAGAUGGGGACUCUUUGGCAGCAUGUCCUGUGCUAAAAUUAGAUUAAAGUCCAAGCUCACUUCAUAGUUGAGUGCACUUGAGUUUAGUACUUGUUUCCAGUCUGGCCAAAGUUCAAUAUUCAUUGUUGACCUACUAAUGUUAUUAAUGAUAUGUGAAAAUUCUUGUUUUGUUCUUGGGAAUUAUAGCUUUGUAUUGUUUAAAGUGCUUAUGAUUUAUGGAAUUGCUAGUACAAUUGGUAGUGACAAUCAUAGGGAAUAUGUGACAAACUUUUGAUUUUAAAUAUUGUAUAUGUAGAGAUCACUAUCUAAUUACCUUCUCUAUUAAAUAAUUGAAAGUGGUCGGUUUGAUUAAACUAAAGGUUUUCUCUGGCUGAUUGUACAUAAACUGGUUUCUUGUUUUAAGGUUUUAGAUACAAUAUUGACAUACAGGCUCAUGGGUUUCUGUGUUGGGUUUUCAGGUGGGCUGCAGCUUCUGGCCAGGUUUCUCUCAAUGGAAUGAUUCUUCCAGCUGCUCUCUAUUUUUGGCAGAUUCCCCAUUUUAUGGCCCUUGCCUACAUGUGCCGUGAUGAUUAUGCUGCUGGCGGGUAUGUGCGUAUGCUGUCUUUGGAAACAUUAAUUGGGGGUUUACCAUUUACACCUGUUUCAGGUUAUUGGACUAUAUAUUUAAAAAUGGCUGAGUUGGAUAUGUAAAUGAUGAUUUGACCUGGUGACAUGAGCCCAAAAAUCAUAUGAUAAUUGGUAUUAAUAAUUAAUUUUGAUUGUCUAUUAGUGUAUGGGGUAAGUGGGUCCCUUUUGCACAUGUCUAUGGGUCUUUAAUGCAAGUUCACUUGACUUUUCCCUUGGACUCAUUAUUCAUCAUUUGAUGCAUAUUCAGGUUUAAGAUGUACUCUCUUGCUGAUGCUUCUGGUCAGAGAACUGCCUUGGUGGCUUUAAGGAACUCCCUGUACCUGAUUCCUUUGGGGUACUUAGCGUAUGAUUGUGAGUUAUAGUCUCCCAUAGAUAUUUAUCUUAAUAUUAUUUGGAAUUCUAGCUUGUCUUUUUAAUUUGGUUCUCUGCUGCAAGCUCCUCUAAUAUAUUUUUCCUAUCAUAAUUUGUUAUGUUUAACCACUUCUUCAUUAACUUCUCCCCUUUCUCAUUUUUCUUCAUUUUAGGGAAGGGAAAGGUGCCACCUUUUUGAAGUAUUAUCAAAUACUGAUUUCUUUUGGGGGAAAAAAAGGAAUAUAUUCUUUCUCUCUUGUUAUAGGUUAUAGGUCACUUAUUUAAGUUCAAAUCUCUCUCUUUCUAUUCAAAAUUUUCAAUUUGAAAGUGACCUUUAGACUUGUGUUUUGGCCGUUUUCCUCAUUUACUUUUAUUUGCUUUUCCUAAAGUUUCUUUUGGCAUAGCAAUUCUUGUUGCAGCAUCCUCAAAUAGUAGUAUAAAUGGAGUUCCAUGUAACAAAAUAUGCAUUAGUAUGCAGGACAAGCACUUGUUUUAGCAGAACUUGUACCUUAGUUUUCUUAAUAUUAUUUGGAAUUCUAGCUUGUCUUUUUAAUUUGGUUUUCUGCUGCAAGCUCCUCUAAUAUAUUUGUCCUACCAUAAUUUGUUACUUUUAAGCACUUCUUCAUUAUCUUCUCCCCCCGGUCAUUUUUCUUCAUUUUAUGGAAGAGAAAUGUGCCUCCUUUUUGAAGUAUUAUCAAAGACUUAUUUCUUAUGGGAAAAAAAAUGUAAAAAAAACAUAGUAAACACUCAUCACCUCCCACUCCAUGCACCUUAAAAUCCCUAAUAAUACCAGCCCCCUCCAUUCGCCUAAGCAUUCUAGUAAAUACUUCCUCCCCUUGUCUUAAGUGUUCUAGUAAACACUUCCAUCAUCAAGAGAAAUGGCAGAAGAUAAGGAUCCCCUUGUCUUUUGUUUUCUGUUGUUAUAGGUUAUAGUUCAUUUAGUUCAGUUCAAAAUCUGUCUCUUUCUAUUCAAAUUUCAAUUUGAAUGUGACCUUGAGACUUGUGUGUUUGGCUGGUUUUCCUCAUUUACUUUUAAUUGUUUUUCCUAAAGUUUCUUUUGGCGUAGCAAUUCUGUUGCAACAUCCUCAAAUAGUAAUAGAUAUGGAGUUCCAUGUACCAAAUAUGCAUUAGUAUGCAGGACAAGUACUUGUUUUAGCAGAAGUACCUUAGUUUUCUUAAUAUUAUUUGGAAUUCUAGCUCGUCUUUUUAAUUUGUUUCUGCUGCAAGCUCCUCUAAUAUAUUCGUCCUAUCAUAACUUGUUACUUUUAAGCACUUCUUCAUUAUCUUCUCCCUUGGUCACUUUUCUUCAUUUUGUGGAAGAGAAUGUGCCUCCUUUUUGAAGUGUUAUCAGCAACUGAUUUCUUCUGAAAAAAAAAGAAAAAAAAAAAAGAAAAAGAAAAAGAAAAAAAAGAAAAAAGAAAAAAACAUAGUAGACAUUCUAUCACCUCCCACUCCAUGCACCUUGAAUCCCCUAAUAAUACCAGCCCCCUCCAUUAGCCUAAGCAUUCUAGUAAAUACUUCCAUCAUCAAGAGAAAUAGCAUAGGAGAUAAAGGAUCCCCUUUUCUUAAGUGUUCUAGUAAACACUUCCAUCAUCAAGAGAAAUAGCAUAGAAGAUAAAGGAUCCCCUUGUCUUUCGUUUCUCUUGUUAUAGGCUAUAGUUCAUUUAGUUCAGUUCAAAAUCUGACUCUUUCAAUUCAAAUUUCAAUUUGAAAGUGACCUUGAGACUUGUGUGUUUGGCUGGUUUUCCUCAUUUACUUUUAAUUGCUUUUCCUAAAGUUUCUUUUGGUGUAGCAGUUCCUGUUGCAACAUCCUCAGAUGCUAAUAGACUAAUAUGGAGUUCCCUGUACCAAAAUAUGCAGCAGUUUGCAGGACAAGUACUUGUUUUAGCAGAACUUGUAUCAUAG